rnacentral:lncRNA from 1 species
AUGGGUUCUAAAGUGUCAGGAAUAGUGAAUUUCCACUGAAUUUACCAAACAUCAUUAAGGUCCAUUGAUUUAGUUAAAGACCUCCAGCUCCACCGUUGAUCACGAUGUGUGAAUCUCAUAAUCAAUGAGCAUCAUAGAAGAAAUAGAGGGCGUAGUAGUUAGAUAGUAUAAUUCAAGCAUAUAUUCAAUAUACACGAACAAAGUGUAGUUCAAAGCAUAAAUAAAUUCUCUAGAUGGUUAUAGAGUCCUCUGCGGAGGAAGAUUUCUGUGCUCC